AUUGAACGCUGGCGGCAGGCCUAACACAUGCAAGUCGAGCGGAUGAAGGGAGCUUGCUCCUGGAUUCAGCGGCAGACGGGUGAGUAAUGCCUAGGAAUCUGCCUGGUAGUGGGGGAUAACGUCCGGAAACGGGCGCUAAUACCGCAUACGUCCUGAGGGAGAAAGUGGGGGAUCUUCGGACCUCACGCUAUCAGAUGAGCCUAGGUCGGAUUAGCUAGUUGGUGGGGUAAAGGCCUGCCAAGGCGACGAUCCGUAACUGGUCUGAGAGGAUGAUCAGUCACACUGGAACUGAGACACGGUCCAGACUCCUACGGGAGGCAGCAGUGGGGAAUAUUGGACAAUGGGCGAAAGCCUGAUCCAGCCAUGCCGCGUGUGUGAAGAAGGUCUUCGGAUUGUAAAGCACUUUAAGUUGGGAGGAAGGGCAGUAAGUUAAUACCUUGCUGUUUUGACGUUACCAACAGAAUAAGCACCGGCUAACUUCGUG
rnacentral:rRNA from 1 species